rnacentral:rRNA from 1 species
AUGUCUUCCAAACCCGAGAAAGCGCCGCCCGCCCCCGAAGCGGGCGUCCCCGCAGACACCGUCAGCAAUAAGCAACGGAAGAGGGACGCCAGGAAGGCCGAGAAGGCGGCCAAGUACGCGCAGGCGCAGCAGAAGCCCGCCGCCAAGGACCCCUCGCCGGAGCAUGAGAAGAAGAAGCAGAAGCCCGACGCCGAGGACGACCCCUCGACGGCCAACUACGGCGACGUCCUCCCCGGGGAGAUCCUCCCUACGGCAGUCCCCGAUGAACCGUAG